AUUUAAAGGGCUGUGGAAUCAAAGGCCAGUGGCGGACAUGGGCCUCAUUCUCACUCGUCCAACUUCUCUUUCCAGCAAACCAUACCUUUUCUGCAAUUGUAGCUCAUCAUGUCAGAUGAAUGAAACUGAUUAAGGCAACUCUCUCCUGCCAACUUCACCAUAUUUGGAUGCAGCGUCUCAUCCUUCCAUCUCACCUGUCCAGAAAAGAAAGAAAGAAAGAAGAAAGAAAGAAAGAAAGAAAGAAAGAAAGAAAGAAAGAAAGAAAGAAAGAAAGAAAGAAAGAAAGAAAGAAAAAGAAAGAAAGAAAGAAAGAAAAAGAAACAGAAGAAGUUGCAGAGCAAAAUAAUGAGGAGACUGGGCCAGACUGCAAGGUGACGAUGUAAGAAGAGUUUAUCUACCUUUAUUCUUGAUUGCAGCAUAAAUGUAAGGUAAGCUGCUCCUUCUGUAGACAACCCACUUGUUGUGAGGCUUUGGCCCUCAUGCCGCUGUUCCUGCAAGCUUUUGCUCUAAGAAGAAAUCUUCGUGCUCAGAAAAAAAAUUUGUCAUAAAAAUGAUGCAUGCUUGGAAAGUGUGACUAUGACUUGGCAUUUUU
rnacentral:lncRNA from 1 species